UCGUAACAAGGUUUCCGUAGGUGAACCUGCGGAAGGAUCAUUACCGAGUGUAGGGUUCCUAGCGAGCCCAACCUCCCACCCGUGUUUACUGUACCUUAGUUGCUUCGGCGGGCCCGCCAUUCAUGGCCGCCGGGGGCUCUCAGCCCCGGGCCCGCGCCCGCCGGAGACACCACGAACUCUGUCUGAUCUAGUGAAGUCUGAGUUGAUUGUAUCGCAAUCAGUUAAAACUUUCAACAAUGGAUCUCUUGGUUCCGGCAUCGAUGAAGAACGCAGCGAAAUGCGAUAACUAGUGUGAAUUGCAGAAUUCCGUGAAUCAUCGAGUCUUUGAACGCACAUUGCGCCCCCUGGUAUUCCGGGGGGCAUGCCUGUCCGAGCGUCAUUGCUGCCCAUCAAGCACGGCUUGUGUGUUGGGUCGUCGUCCCCUCUCCGGGGGGGACGGGCCCCAAAGGCAGCGGCGGCACCGCGUCCGAUCCUCGAGCGUAUGGGGCUUUGUCACCCGCUCUGUAGGCCCGGCCGGCGCUUGCCGAACGCAAAUUAAUCUUUUUCCAGGUUGACCUCGGAUCAGGUAGGGAUACCCGCUGAACCUAAGCAUAUCA
rnacentral:misc_RNA from 1 species